AGUGAACGCUGGCGGUAUGCCUAACACAUGCAAGUCGAACGGCAGCACAGUAAGAGCUUGCUCUUACGGGUGUCGAGUGUCGGACGGGUGAGUAAUACAUCGGAAUCUACUUUUUCGUGGGGGAUAGCGUAGGGAAACUUACGCUAAUACCGCAUACGACCUACUGGUGAAAGCAGGGGAUCUUCUGACCUUUCGCGAUUGAAUGAGCCGAUGUCGGAUUAGCUAGUUGGCGGGGUAAAGGCCCACCAAGGCGACGAUCCGAGGAUGGUCUGAGAGGAUGAUCAGACAGACUGGCACUGAGACACGGUCCAGACACUUACGGUGGGACGCAGUGGAGAAUAUUGGAGAAGGGGCGAAAGCGUAAUCCAGGAAUACCGGGUGAGUGAUGAAGGCCUUCGGGUUGUAAAGCGCUUUUGUUGGGAAAGAAAAACAGCAGGUUAAUACCCCGUUGUAAUGACGGUACCCAAAGAAUAAGCACCGGCUAACUUCGUG
rnacentral:rRNA from 1 species